rnacentral:lncRNA from 1 species
CGUUUCUGCUUUGCUUUGAUCUUCUUUAGCUGUUGCUCCUUGUUGUAUUUUUGCCGUUUUACAGAAUCUAGUUUUCUGUUGAUAUCUUUGUUGUUGGUAGCCUGAGGUGAAAGUUGCUCAAUAAUUUUAUCUAUUUGUUUCAGAGAUGUUGUACAUGAUCUUAAGUCAUCCAACACUGACUGAUAUUCUUUUUCAGCAUCAGCUAUUUUUGUUGCUCUGUUAGCUUCAUUAAUUGCAUUAUCUACUUGCUGGAUAACUCCUUGCUCCAAUACCUCCUGGUCA